CCUGAUUAUAGAAGAGAACAAUUUUUCAUUCUCCUUGAAAGCGAGUCUUCUUUAUACACAGAUGACAAGUUCACUAACUCAGUAGAAAUAAGACUUCAGAAAGAAAUAUUAAAUUUUAAUGUUUCCUCAGAGUGAUGUAAACCUAAAGACAUUUUUUUAGGAUGAAUGAAUGAGUUUAUGCUCACCGAUCUCUCAAUCUGUGGUGAAUAUUCUUUUGGAAAAACCAACAUGGUGCAAAUCUUUUGGUUUAUAAAACUAGCUGUAAACGUCAUCACACCAGCUUGGAACUGAAAGGAU
rnacentral:lncRNA from 1 species